rnacentral:lncRNA from 1 species
AAAGAUGCAAUCUUGCAUCAAUGAGGAAUGCCCAAAAUAGAAAAGUAAUUUCAUCCCUAACUACUUCCCUAAUUGGGAUUAUUCCAAGAGAUGGAACAAGUUUGUUCAAGCUAAAAGACUUACGACUUAAGUAAGAUUAAUGGACUUGAAAAAUUAUACGAAAGCCCACACCUUACAAAGAUGGCGUGUCCGAGGCCGUGCAUAGAGGAGAGGCACUCCCGAGGGGUGACCCGAGUCACUCGACCCGCUAGACCCAACUCACGGGCUAGGGGGCUACGCAACCAAGAAGAACGUGCGGCCCAUGCCGCACGUCCCUAUAGAUGGGCCGACUGAGGCCCAUCGGGAAGACCAGAAGGUUGGCCCUCAUCCCAAGGCUCGAUCCAGUAGAAUUGCACCCGUGGGAGAAGAAACCAGGCUGAACGUUUGGCCCAACAGUAGUUGCAGGCCUAGUCGAGGAAAAACCCAGGCGGGUCGCGAAGCCGUGAGGCCCGAAGGCCACGUGACCACAGGCCUGGCCCAAACUGCUGCACAUGUGCAGGCUUCCUUUGCCCGCACGAGUAAUGUGUGUGAU